rnacentral:rRNA from 1 species
CCUACGGGAGGCAGCAGUGAGGAAUAUUGGUCAAUGGCCGGAAGGCUGAACCAGCCAUGCCGCGUGAAGGGCAGGGCCCUACGGGCGUUAAACUUCUUUUGUGCGGGAGCAAUAAUGGUCACGUGUGGCCAGACGAGAGUACCGUACGAAUAAGCAUCGGCUAACUCCGUGCCAGCAGCCGCGGUAAUACGGGGGAUGCAAGCGUUAUCCGGAUUGAUUGGGGUUAAAGGGUGCGUAGGCUGGUAGGUAAGUCAGCGGUGAAAUGCCCCCGCUCAACGGGGUGAAGUGCCAUUGAUACUGCCGUGCUGGAGUGCGGGUGCCGUGGGAGGAAUGUGUGGUGUAGCGGUGAAAUGCAUAGAUAUCACACAGAACACCGAGUGCGAAGGCAUCUCACGAAUCCGCGAUUGACGCUGAUGCACGAAAGCGUGGGUAUCAAACAGGAUUAGAUACCCCAGUAGUC